rnacentral:tRNA from 1 species
GAGUCAUUAGCUCAGCCGGUAGAGCACCGCCCUUUUAAGGCGGGUGUCGAGGGUUCGAAUCCCUCAUGACUCA